GAUGAACGCUGGCGGCGUGCCUAAUACAUGCAAGUCGAGCGAACAGACGAGGAGCUUGCUCCUCUGACGUUAGCGGCGGACGGGUGAGUAACACGUGGAUAACCUACCUAUAAGACUGGGAUCACUUCGGGAAACCGGCGCUAAUACCGGAUAAUAUAUUGAACCGCAUGGUUCAAUAGUGAAAGACGGUUUUGCUGUCAGUUAUAGAUGGUUUCGCGCCGCAUUAGCUAGUUGGUGAGGUAACGGCUUACCAAGGCAACGAUGGGUAGCCGGCCUGGGAGGGCGACCGGCGACAGGGGGACUGAGAGACGGCCGAGACGCCGAGGGGAGGCAGCAGUGGGGAAGAUUGCACAAUGGGCGAAAGACGGAUGCAGCGACGCCGCGUGAGGGAUGACGGCCUUCGGGUUGUAAACCUCUGUCAGAAGGGAAGAAGCGACAGGGACGGUACCUGAAGAAGAAGAGCCGGCUAACUACGUG
rnacentral:rRNA from 1 species